AUGGCAACUGCCGCUGAUGCCCCGGAUCUAUCACUCCACAUCAGCCCGCCGUCACCAACCGGCAAGGCCGGGAGCGGCCGCGGGCACGAAAUGGCCAUCUCUGCGGAGUCCACAGAGCUCUGUCUAGGGUUUGACAUGGCGACUGCGCGACAGCCAGGCGAGGUCCGCAAUGGCCACUCCGAUCUUGAGCAGCGGCUGCACCAACCUAGCCAGAUUCCGAGAUUCAAGAAGAGCUCCGCUGACAGCCAGGCGGGCUCCUCCGGCGGUGCAGCAAGAUCUGGGAAUGGUGGCAAGAAGAGCUCUAGGGCUCCAAGGAUGCGGUGGACGACGGCGCUCCAUGCACACUUUGUACAAGCGGUCCAGCUCCUUGGCGGCCAUGAGAGAGCAACACCGAAAUCAGUCUUGGAGUUGAUGAACGUGAAGGAUCUCACACUGGCUCAUGUCAAGAGCCAUCUUCAGAUGUACAGAACAGUCAAGGGCACUGCUUCGGACAGAUCAUGUGCGGCAGGCCAUGGCCAGAUAAGGGACAUGGGCUUUCUGAGGAGAGAUGGUGAAGUGCAUGGCUUUGACAUGUUUAGCAACAUCAUUUCUAAUACAAGAAGGCAGCCAUGGGCGUCGCCGGCAGAGCAGCUGCAGCCGCCGUUCGCGCAGGAGCAAGGCGGAGGCGGCCCGCCGCUACCGAGUGCCUACCUCAUGUCCAUUCACCAAUACUUGAUGAAGCAAAACCAGGGAUGGAGAGGUGCACAGCAGCAAGAUGCUUCACUCAAUUGCCCAGGGCAGGACAGAGGACAACGUCUGCAUGUAGGCGCACGCCAUGAUGAGACGCCCAGGAUUGGAUCGUCGACAGCAGGUUUUGCUCGGGGAUGGUCGUCGUCGUCGUCACUAUCGCUGUCGCCGUCGCCGUCGACCCCACUACAAAUGAACGGCAGGAACGCCGGCAGCGCCGCAGAGCAAGCAUGCAUGAAGCAGCAGCAGGCGCCAUCAAGAGUACCCAGCCUGGAGAUGAGCUUAGGGAGGCAGGGGUGGCAAAAUGCCAUUGAGCAACAGCAGCGGCAAGGACAGCCCAGCGUGGAGUCCUCGGCGUCCAAAGAGCUAACCCUACUAAAGUGCUUGUGA
rnacentral:rRNA from 1 species